rnacentral:rRNA from 1 species
UAAGUCGAGCGGACAGAUGGAAACUUGAUCCCUAACGAAUAGUACCGCAACGUGACGGGUGAGUAACACGUGGUGUUAACCUGCCGGUAAGACUGGGAUAACUCCGGGAAACCGGGGCUGAUACCGGAUGGUAGUUUGAACCGCAUGAGUUCUAACAUAAGAGGUGGCUUCGGCUACCACUUACAGAUGGACCCGCGGCGCAUUAGCUAGUUGGUAUAGGUAACGGCUGAAGAAAGGCAACGAUGCGUAGCCGACCUGAGAGGGUGAUCGGCCACACUGGGACUGAGACACGGCCCAGACUCCUACGGGAGGCAGCAGUAGGGAAUCUUCCGCAAUGGAGGAAAGUCUGACGGAGCAACGCCGCGAUAAGUGAUGAAGGUUUUCGGAUCGUAAAGCUCUGUUGUUAGGGAAGAACAAGUACCGUUCGAAUAGGGCGGUACCUUGACGGUACCUGACCAAGAAACCACGGCUAACUACGUGCCAGCAGCCGCGGUUUUAUCAUAGGUGGCAAGCGUUGUCC